rnacentral:rRNA from 1 species
GUAGGUGGCAAGCGUUGUCCGGAAUUAUUGGGCGUAAAGCGCGCGCAGGCGGGUCCUUUAAGUCUGAUGUGAAAGCCCACGGGCUCAACCGUGGAGGGUCAUUGGAAACUGGGGGACUUGAGUACAGAAGAGGAAAGCGGAAUCCCGAGUGUAGCGGUGAAAUGCGUAGAGAUUUGGAGGAACACCAGUGGCGAAGGCGGCUUUCUGGUCUGUAACUGACGCUGAGGCGCGAAAGCGUGGGGAGCAAACAGGACUAGAUACCCUGGUAGUCCACGCCGUAAACGAUGAGUGCUAAGUGUUAGGGGGUUUCCGCCCCUUAGUGCUGCAGCUAACGCAUUAAGCACUCCGCCUGGGGAGUACGGCCGCAAAGGCUG